rnacentral:lncRNA from 1 species
CUGCCGCCGCCACCGCCUCAGGGAAGAGGAAGGAGGCCGCGGCUUCGCGUCCCGCCUCUCGCCUGGCUGGCCGUGGGGGGCCUGGACGCAGUGGCCUCCCGAAUCUCCCAGGACCCUAAUAUCGCCCGAGGAUGCUGGGAGGAACGCUGAGCCGACCUCUCCGUUAGGCUGAAGAUUGCACAAACCAUGCUAAUGGCCAGCAUGGAUGGAGGGAGCGUGUGAGAUGUGUGGGGCAGCGUGCUGCAUCUCAGCCAACUCCAGGAGCCAGUUGAUGUGAUGGACUACCUUAAUUGAUUUUUGAAUGUUGAGCCAGCCUUAUGCAUGUGGGAUAAACCCCUGUUGAUCAUGGAAGCAUGCUCAUGGCAAUACCCGGAGUCUCCACUGCAAGACCAGAGUGACGGAGGCAGCAGAGCUCCUCAGCAGGCCAGGAGUCUCCAGAGGCACUGCCGAAUGUCUAAGAAGCAACCUCAUUGUAUUCCCAAGACCUGGGAAUCCAGGUCUCGCAGAUACGAUGAUACAAUCUAUAGCCAGGACAUCUCUUCAUGUGUAGUUUUCAAUGAAUACUAGGAUAAGCAACUAUCCCAGUCUUCCCAGGAUUGAGGGGCUUCUCCAGAUGCUGCACUUCUGGUGCUAAAAAUGAGAAACUGAAAUGAAUUAGUCACCCAAGGAAUGCUGACCCUGUGCUAUAUGAUCACAUUUACUCUUUAAAGCAAUGCUUUGAGAACAAUUGAGCUGCAUAGUCCCUGCAAUCUUAUAAAGGCAUUUGGCCUGGAAGAUGCUCUGCAGCCAUGUGCCAAGAAUAACGGCUAUAGGGACAAUGUUUCAUUAACCCCAAAGCAGCAACCUGAACCUCUUACUGUACAAUAUCUGCUCCGUUCAGAAUUAGCUCGACUUGAGUCACAGGAUGAAGCUUACCAAAAGGAAUUUCCACGUCCAAGGAAGGAACCAAGAUCACUGAGAGGUUAUAGUAUGAAAAGUGAAGAGAAAAAACCUAUUCUAAACAUUUUAUUAAUUGUCAAUAAUUAUUUUAAAAUAUUUAAUAUAGUCUCCUACCUGGUCCACUGGCAUCAAGCUGCCAAAUUUACACGGUCACUUUGGGAAGCCAGCUGGCAGGCAAACAUGGAAAGUGCUGGCUCCUAGCGUAGUGAGAAGACCACAGAUAGAUGGUAAUUUUCUUCUUUGUUUUAUUUUUCUUUUUCUUCUCUCCCUCUUUUUCUUCCCUCUUGCCUUUCCCUCCCAUUGCCCACUUUCUUUUUUUGGCUGCCGAAGAUUUAUUGCCUUUCAGUACUUAUAGAUGAUGUUUUCAUAAGUUCUAAUGAGGUCCCAGCAGUUUUUAACAAUAACAGGACAUUACUGUUCCUAAGAUAUAUUAUGUGUUUUCCCUCAUCUUUCUCCCUUGAAUGAAAUGCUUAGAAGUAGGCUAACCCCCAAUUCCCUUCCCUUUACUAUGAUAAAUGGCUCCAUUACUUAAUAGGGCUAAAUACUCUGCUGUGACUUUUAUACUGCUGAUUUGAAUAAAAUCUUACGAAAAGC